GCGCGAAUAACGUUACAGGUGUAUCAAUUCUUGUGAAGGACAUGGCUGCAGGAGACAAGUCCAUUUCUGAGUUACUCAGAGAACUUGCUAACCGCUUAGAUUGUACGUCUUCACCUCAGUCUGAGAGAGUGUUGCAGCAGCAUACUGAAGAUGAAGCGGUCCCUGGUCCAAGUUCUCAUCAAAACAGCACAGUGUUAACGUUAGGAAAUGCUAACGCUAUCACAGCUAGCUCAACUCCACGAAACGCUGUUCAGGCUGAAGUCGCAAGACUGUUUGCCCCUUACAGAGCGAGGCCUUCCUCAGCACCACUUUCAUCUCUGACCCCGCAAUCUUCCAAGAAAGCAUGCUGCUCCAUUUACACACACACCUUCUUCUGUUUACAUGAUCAUAUGUCAGACACAGUGCCAGCUAAAGCAGUCAAAUUUGACCUAGCAGCAGCUGGACUUGGAGAGAAAUGGAUUUCAUUCCAAGGAAGGGAUGAUGACCCAGAAGUGGUCAAGGCAAAGAUUGAGGAUACCUUCCCUCAGCUAAAAGACACAGGAGGGUUUGAACUGCUGAGAAUCUCGGGUACAACACAAAGCCGUAACCUGUGCACAAUCCCAAGCCCAGACACUGGAUAUACAGUGCGAUAUCUCCACAGUCCAUUGAGUGGAAUUGGACAAGCUUUGAUCUAUAUAAGGCCACUGCAGAAAAGUAUUGAUUUGGAAGACAGCCUGACAACCCUCCAGCAACAAGGACCCCCCACAAAAUGCCUGAAUCGUGACAUUAACAUUCCUUUAAAUAAAAUGAAAAACCACAUCACUAAAUGCACAAGAGUGGAAAUGUGAACAAGAUGCAACCAGAGCAGCCUGGCUCUACAAGUCCGAGUUACUUUCAAAGUAUGAGACCAGAAAGACAGUAGUCCUGCAAAUGGACUUGCGGGAAAGUAUUGUGGAUCAACAGAGGUCACUUUUCUCCCUCUACAAAGCCCCAAAGGUAGAGUGGGCGGGCCCUGUCAGCUGCAAACUGGAAGGGGAUGUUGCUGUUGGAGAAGGGGUGAAGAGAUUCUUCUUCUCAAAGGCAGUUUCUCUAGUACAGUCUGGUUUGCAUGGAACACAGAUCUUACAAGGCUGUUUGACGGUGAGCCAGAACACUUGACUCCAUCCACUUCUCAGACCUUGCUUGAGAGUGACAUGUUUUUGGUGGCAGGAAGAAUAAUGGGACAUUCAUUCUUUCAUGGUGGACCGUGUGUGUCUGGUAUAAGUCCUGCAAUCAUCCAUGUCCUUUUUGGUGGCCCACCUGAAACAGCUAUAGUUCAGAUUGAGGAUUGCCCUGAUAUUGAUAUCCGCAGCACUAUUCAGCUGCUUGAUGGCACUGCUGAAUUAACAGAACUGGAACGAAGAAAUGUUCUCGAGCUAGCCCUGGCUUGGGACCUGCCAGGUGUCACACAAACCAAUAGAAAGUGGCUGUAUGAACGUCUGCUAUUCCACGCUGUGAGUACUGACUUACUCUCCCCAAUAAAUUUACAUUUUAAAUAGAAAAGCACAUCAAACCUUCGGAUGUGAAUAAGUACAUUUUUCAUAUACAAUUAAAAAAAAUCUCUUUGGAGGCCAUUUGAAAUGCUUUUACCAGUACAGUGGAUGUUCUUUAAGUAUUUAACAUUUAAAGUGUGUCUCAAUUUACGGACUCCAACUUCAGUUUUGGUUUGGUCUCACCGUUGUAGGUCAUAACACGAACAAGCCGUCAAGUCAAGCAGCUGAGGAAAGGGCUUAAGGAGACCAUGGUAUGGCCGCUUCUGACAGAAAGAUCGGACAUCAUUCCUCUUUUCUUACCAAGGGAAUCAGAGACUGCUCCCUGUUGUGAGUCUACUCUAGAAAGGAUAGUGUGGCCUGCCACAGAAGAUGAAGCUGAGGAGGAAGAGGAAUGCUCUCUUGAGGAUAAAUGCAGAGUGGCAGGUUACCUUCGGUCCUUCAUUGAAAAUGGUAAGUCUGCUGCUAUAGGUAUUUUGCUAUUGGUUUUCUCUGAUUAUACUUUGGUAAAUUACAUACAGUCCAGUGAUCUUGGGUCAUUAACAAAGUACACUAUAGUAGGGCUGGGCUAUAUCAUACCGUUCACGGUAAUACCGGUGUAAUUUUGGGCAACGAUAGGAAAAUGAAAUAUCGCAAUAGAAUAUGGGUAAACCGCGCAUGCGCAGUGCCUAUGUUUACAUACGCACAUGGCAGCGAUGCAGAAUGAGAAGAGCGAAAGUGGAUCGUUAAAUGAAACGGAUGAACCAGAAUUGGUUUGUAGAAAUGCUGCAACUUCAGUGGUGUGGAACUGGUUUAGCUUUCAUCCGUCAGAUACACAACAAAGCACUAUUUUUGGUAGAGCAUGCUAGCGGGCCGUCGUUAUUACCGUGUUGUUUGGAAAAUACGGCACACUUAAAAUCAAUCCUUUGAUUUUUCUGAAAAUCGACAGUGCCCCUUAUAAUCCCGUGUGCCUUAUAUAUGAAUUCUGGUUGUGUUUACUGACCUUGAAACGAUUUUAUGUGGUACACGGCACAUGCAGCCCCGUCAUCAUUUUCACUCUAUCACCAAACACAGACAUUGUUUUCAUAAGCAGAGAAUUUUAGACCUUGUACCUUAAAUGUACAUAAGUGCCC
ensembl:lncRNA